GGCCUUCAUGCACUAAGAGUGUGGAUAUUUCUCCUUAGACUUCAAUCACUACUGGAAAAGGAACCUCAAUCCACUAGAAGCUGCCAGCUCCAUUCAGACCUGAAUCUGCAAUGGAAACAAAAGGUGUCCCUACCCCAAAACUUUUGGAUUUGCGGGGGCUACAAUCAACCAAGAGAUGGCCUGGUUCCUGUGGAGCCAGGCGACGUACCAUCGUGCCCUGUACUGCCCGAGGUCUCUAGGCCUGGGCACUGCCGAGAGGAAAGGUGAAAUAAAAUCCUGUUCUGCACCUUGCUUUCCUCACCAUGCUUGACUCAUACCCACCAUAAGGAAAGAAAAAAAAUCUCAUGAUAUGCAAAGCAGACUUAAGAAACUUUAAUGUGAAGGACGGGGAAAUGAAAGUUACAUCAGAAAGAAUUAUGGAUCUUUAUUUUUAGGUUUUGUUUCCUAUUUGCUCAAUGUGUUAAAUUUUAACAGUAUAUUGAUAAUUUUAUUCAGUAUCUUUCUGAAGAUGAGUGUCUUUAUAUACGUGUUCUUGCUUCACCUUACAAGAAACCUCAAAUUCGUAUUUAUACAGGCAGCUCUGCAGUGAAACAUUUUGAGGGGCAUUAUGCUCUAUAUCAGUAUUGAGGCAUGCCAUUAAAUUACUUUAUAAAUUAAUUAAACACAAUGUGGAAGGGAAAUUGGUGGUGAGUUUGGUGAGUUUGAAGUGUGA